GUACUUACUCCAGCAGCACAUACACUAAAAAACUGGAAUGAUACAGAGAAGACUGGCAAUGGGCCCUGCACAAGGAUAACAUAUUAUUUUUUUCUUUUUUUUUUUUUUUU